UCAUAUUGUAUUGGAAUGGGUGUAUUUGUUAUAUUGCGAAUACUUAAAAGGGAAGCCGGUGCAAAAUCCGGCACGGUCCCGCCGCUGUAAGGGUGAGUCCUAUGUAAAAAUGUCACUGGAUAAUAUCUGGGAAGACGCAUAGAGAUGAUGAGCCUAAGUCAGAAGACCUGCCCGUUCUAGAAAUGCUGUU
rnacentral:ncRNA from 18 species